rnacentral:rRNA from 1 species
GAUGAACGCUGGCGGCGUGCCUAAUACAUGCAAGUCGAGCGAACAGACGAGGAGCUUGCUUCUCUGACGUUAGCGGCGGACGGGUGAUUAACACGUGGAUAACCUACCUAUAAGACUGGGAUAACUUCGGGAAACCGGAGCUAAUACCGGAUAAUAUAUUGAACCGCAUGGUUCAAUAGUGAAAGACGGUUUUGCUGUCACUUAUAGAUGGAUCCGCGCUGCAUUAGCUAGUUGGUAAGGUAACGGCUUACCAAGGCAACGAUGCGUAGCCGACCUGAGAGGGUGAUCGGCCACACUGGAACUGAGACACGGUCCAGACUCCUACGGGAGGCAGCAGUAGGGAAUCUUCCGCAAUGGGCGAAAGCCUGACGGAGCAACGCCGCGUGAGUGAUGAAGGUCUUCGGAUCGUAAAACUCUGUUAUUAGGGAAGAACAAAUGUGUAAGUAACUAUGCACGUCUUGACGGUACCUAAUCAGAAAGCCACGGCUAACUACGUG